AUUAUAAUUUUUACAAAACAUCUUAAAAAGUCGUAGUUAAACGAACAUUGCACUAAAGUAUUUAAAUAAAAAUUGUAUUUUAAAAAAUGAAAACAUUUUUAAUUUGCUGGGAGUAUGUCCAGUCAAAAUUCUGAUUUUAAUCUGUUUUUUUUUGACAACGGAAAAAAACUUGGAUUUAAAAAACGUUUACGAAAAAAAGAUCAUGUAAAUAUUGGAAAUAGUAAUUCUUUAAACAAAAGUUUCAAAAACAUUACUGCUUUAUCACAAUUUGAUAACUGGAAAAACACAUCAAAAGCUGAAUUUUUUUUUGAAGAGGCAAAACUUACAUUUCCUUCUCUUUUGGAAGAUAUAGCAGCAUACUUUUCUAUUGCAAAAAAAAAGAAAGUUAAUUUUCUACCUAACCAAGCUAAUCCUUUUCUUUUCAGUAAUGAAAACUCAAAAGGUUAUAUAAUAUAUUUGUCAGAUUUAAUAUUGGAUAUAUUAAAUUCAAAUUAUUCAGAUUUCGUCAAAGCUGUAAAGUAUCAGCAAAGGGAAUCAGAAAAUCUUAUGGAGAAAAAUGUUCCUCGGGAAACUGACUCUGGUGUUUAUUCUGUACCUCAAAGUGCAAUGAGUCAAAUUAAACCUGGUGUUAUCCAAAAAACAAAGAAUAAAACACUUUCAGCAGUCACAAAUUUAGAUACAAUAGAAAGUGGUGUAGCAUUAAUAACUGGUUUGGACAAAAACAUAGUUGAGACCUCAUUACAUAACAGUUCUUCCUUAGUUCGUGUAUUAUCAAGCAAUGAUAGUGGAGUGACAAGCAGUUUAGAUAUGGGAUCUUCUUUGUCAAAUAAAAGAGAACCUAAAACUCCAGCUCCAGUAUUAAGGAAAAGUUAUAAUGGAAGACAAAUUAACAAAAACAAUGAAAAAGUAAUAUUGAAUUCCAUGCAAAAGAUUUGCAUUAAGAAAGGAGAGACAAGGUUUGAAAAGAAUCAAAAUGACAUGAUGGAUGUUGUUAUUCCACCAUUAUCUCAAGAUUUAAUCAGUUUCUCCAUUGCUUCAAAAACAUGCCACGAAAAAGGAUGGAUAAUGCAAGAAUCAGAUGUUUUUAAUCUUGAACAACAAACUUUAAUUGCUUGGGCUCAUGCAAGAUUGACCAAAGCAAUAAAGCUCCGAGAGAUUCAAGAUGAAGCAGCGAUAAAAUUAGGAAAAAAAAAAUCCAUGUCUAAAUGUUAUUACAGUGACAAAUCUAACAAAAAAUCAAAUCAAGCAAAAUUAUCAAAUCCUAAAACAUUUUCUUAUGCAGGUUGCAAUGGUUCUCUCAUGCUUUUCUAUCCAUCUGGUCAACCUGCAAUUAUUACAAUACCAAGUUUAAGCGUAGAGGGAUGUUAUGCAUUAGUGUAUUCUGAUUUUUAUGGAAGAUUGUUGGCUAUUUUUACGCCUGAAAGUGAUGGGGCUUGUUAUUAUAAAAGUGGAAUGGUUCAGUUUCUUUCUACUCAAGAAUAUGGAUUAUGUCAAGAAGAGACUGGUGAUAUUAUUAGAAAGUGGAAUUGGAAGAGCUUAAGACUUCAACCCUCACUUUCUUUACAACUAAACAAAAAUCUAGUUUUUCGAUGCUCCCAAAAGCAAUCAAUGGUAGUUUUCUUUACUGCACAUGGUCAGAAUACUAAAGUGAGAGUUGGCUAUAAUGGCGAGACUCUAAUGGAUUCCACUGCAAAUAAACAACACUUUUCAUCAAUUGCUGUUCAGCUCUCAAAAUCAAUACCAUGCCAGAAAAGAUCUACAAGUUUUAAGGAAACAUUUGAGGAUGAUCAAACUUUAAAGAAUGAGGCAGAAUUCUUUAUACAUCUAAAAGUUUUAAAAAAGAAGUUCAAAUCAACUAUUUCUGAAUGGAUGAAUUAUUAUCGUGUUGCUACUGGUUACAACACUUUCUUACUUUCUCCCAAAGUAAAUUAUCGAGCAAACAAACGAUCUUCCAUUUUGGAACUAGCAACUAAAAUACCUUUUCAGCAGAGAGCACAAUCUGCUCCUAUGUUAUCCCAUAAAGGAAGAUCUUAUAAAGCAUUACCAGAAAAAAGUUGUCCAAAACAUUUUGUUGAAAUCAAUUCCAAUUCUCUUACAAAAUCUAUGAGAUGUGAUAAAAAACAUGUGCCUCUCAUAACCGAUAUGGAGUUUGACCUAUUUUUGAAUGAACUUCCAAAAACACAACUUCUUGUUGUAAGCUUGGUUGAAACAGGUCUAUCAAUGAUCCAUAUCGUUUAUUACGUUAUCCAAUUGACCGUUCUUUAAAUGAGGAACCUCCAUUACUUGUGAAACGCCACAACGUUUGCUGUGGAAUGUUUAUGAUGUAUCAAGGUGGUCAUCUUUUCUUUGCUGAUUAUAUAUUUAAUGGUUAUGGUCAAACAAAGAAGCAUUUUCUUAAACAAAUUAUACUCACCCGAGAGGAUGCUUUAAAAGGGAAUCACCUUCCUAAAGAUUUUCGAUUCGGAUCAAUCAUAACUUCUCCAAAAAAUAGCUUCAAUGAAUUUAAUAGGCUUAGCAAUAGCACUCGUGUAACAAUUUCACAAUGAUAUAAACUUAUGACUUA
rnacentral:misc_RNA from 1 species